GCACUGGGCCCAGAGAGCCCAGAGCCUGCAGACGCCCGCCCCCGCCGCCCCCGCCCAGCCAAUCAGAGAGGACAGGGCUGCGCGUCCGUGCGCGCGACCGUCGUCCCCGCGGCGGGGUUUCCCUGCCCCACCCCCACUCCUGAGCCCGGCCCCGCGGGGAACGGGGUUCUGGGGCCGCCGGGGCGGCGACAGGGGCGCCUCCCGCCGUGCGCCUGGACGGCCGGCCUGCCUCCCCCGCCCCAGUCUUCCCACUGGCCAGCCCCCGCGAGCGUAGAAAGUUCCAGGAGAAGCACCCGCUCUUAAUGGCGGCCGCGGCGGGGGCCGGUUUUAAGAAAUAUUACAGAGACACAACCGAAGGCACUGUUCUUGUUCCCUUCUCUUCCCCACAGAGAGCCAGAUGUGGGGCUCAGCCUCAUGAGUCAGGAGAUCGUGACCUGAGCCGAAAUCAAGAGUCAGAUGCUUAACCAAAUGAGCCACCCGGGCACCCCCCAUCCUAAUCAUUUUUCAAGGUACAGUUCAGUGGUAUUAAAUGCCUUCAUAAUGUGCAAUUGCCACCAUCUAUCUCUGUCAUUCUUGUCCUCUUGUGAAACUGACGCUCCAUCCAUAUCCAUUCAAUAGGAUUCCUCAUUCUCCCUCUGCCCAACUAUCAUUCCACUUUCUGUCUGUGACUUUGCCUACUAAAGUGCCUUAUAAGUGCCGUCACACAGCACUUGCCUUUUUAGA